UGAACGCUGGCGGCGUGCCUAAUACAUGCAAGUCGAGCGAACAGACGAGGAGCUUGCUCCUCUGCCGUUAGCGGCGGACGGGUGAGUAACACGUGGAUAACCUACCUAUAAGACUGGGAUAACUUCGGGAAACCGGAGCUAAUACCGGAUAAUAUAUUGAACCGCAUGGUUCAAUAGUGAAAGACGGUUUUGCUGUCACUUAUAGAUGGAUCCGCGCCGCAUUAGCUAGUUGGUAAGGUAACGGCUUACCAAGGCGACGAUGCGUAGCCGACCUGAGAGGGUGAUCGGCCACACUGGAACUGAGACACGGUCCAGACUCCUACGGGAGGCAGCAGUAGGGAAUCUUCCGCAAUGGGCGAAAGCCUGACGGAGCAACGCCGCGUGAGUGAUGAAGGUCUUCGGAUCGUAAAACUCUGUUAUUAGGGAAGAACAAAUGUGUAAGUAACUAUGCACGUCUUGACGGUACCUAAUCAGAAAGCCACGGCUAACUACGUG
rnacentral:rRNA from 1 species